UGGGGAAUCUUCCGCAAUGGACGAAAGUCUGACGGAGCAACGCCGCGUGAGUGAAGAAGGUUUUCGGAUCGUAAAACUCUGUCUUUUGGGGCGAACGUGAGUAUGGUGAACAAUCAUAGUCAGUGACGGUACCAAAGGAGGAAGCCACGGCUAACUACGUGCCAGCAGCCGCGGUAAUACGUAGGUGGCAAGCGUUGUCCGGAAUUAUUGGGCGUAAAGAGCGCGUAGGCGGGAUAGUCAGUCUGUUGUAAAGUGCGGGGCUCAACCCCGUGAUCGCAAUGGAAACAGCUAUUCUUGAGUGCAGGAGAGGAAAGUGGAAUUCCCAGUGUAGCGGUGAAAUGCGUAGAUAUUGGGAGGAACACCAGUGGCGAAGGCGACUUUCUGGACUGUGUCUGACGCUGAGGCGCGAAAGCCAGGGGAGCGAACGGGAUUAGAUACCCCGGUAGUCCUGGCCGUAAACGAUGGGUACUAGGUGUGGGAGGUAUCGACCCCUUUCCGUGCCGGAGUUAACGCAAUAAGUACCCCGCCUGGGGAGUACGGUCGCAAGACUGAAACUCAAAUGAAUUGACGGGGUCAUAGCUGUUUCCUG
rnacentral:rRNA from 1 species